GAGGGUAUAGCUCAGUGGUAGAGUGCAUGCCUAGCAUGCAUGAGGUCCUGGGUUUGAUCCCCAGUAUCACCA
rnacentral:tRNA from 1 species